CAGCCAUGCCAUGUGAUCUAUACCGACUACAGACCGACACCUUUGCAGCACUAUAUUUUUCCAGCGGGAGGUGAUGGAUUGCACCUUGUAGUUGAUGAAAAUGGAGAUUUUAGAGAAGAUAACUUCAACACUGCCAUGCAAGUACUGAGAGAUGCUGGUGAACUUUCCAAGGGUGAUCCAAAGGGACGUAAAGGAGGAACUAAAGGUCCAUCAAACGUAUUUAAAAUUGUGAAGAUGAUCAUGGAAAGGAAUUUUCAGCCUGUUAUCAUCUUCAGCUUCAGCAAGAAAGACUGUGAAGCAUAUGCUCUACAGAUGUCCAAGUUGGAUUUUAAUACAGGUAGGAGCACUUGCAAGGUUAAACAUUUUAUUUCUACAGAAAGGUAAGCGUUGCUGAAAGAGCUCUGUGAGUACAUGAGAGAACUUCUUCCACCAUUCUCCUAAUUUCCUAGCUGUUGGCAUAUUGUUAAGUAACAGAGCUUAGUUAUGCAUAGUUUAUCUUUUCUUAAUUAGCACACAGUAAAGACAACAGGAUAAGUGAUGUGUCAUCAUUGUGGGAGAUGCCGGUGUGAUCCAGGGUAAACUUGUCUGCAUUAAGUGUGUGCAGUUUUUGGAUCUUCAGCUUAGUCAUGGAGUUGGAGGCUGACCAAACAAGGAGAGGAAAGUUACCUAGACCCUGUUCCAGGCAAUGGUCACAUUCCUUAGGCUAGUCAGAACUUCAGAGGUGAUCAAGUGUGAGGGAUACACGAGUGUGAUUGCCAUCAGGAGGUAUGGGCAGUCUGCAUGUCAUCGAGGCACCUCAGUCCCUUACUCUGUCCAACAUGUAUAAAGUGCUUGCUUCCUAUUUGGAUUAAGAACCGGGCAGGACGUGGACUGACUGAUGUGAAGGAUACCAUUCAAGUGCGGGGAACACAGAGGAAUGUGGUAGUUAAAGAAAUUAGUCCAAUCAGUGGAUAUAUACCGUUUUCUUCAGCUGUGACUUGGAGCUCUGAUGAUUGUGUUGCUCAUCUGAUGUCAGGGAUGUGGACAUUUCCUUAGAACUACAAAGAGAACUUCAAAGAGGGCAAUCCAGUUGCCAUGAUUUACAUGGGGAGCAAGAACAUAGCAGAGCAUUAUUCCUGCUUCUAUUAAAGGGAAUUUAAGAAAUUAAGGAAAAUCAAAGGUAUUAUUUCUGGCUUCUUGAAUGAGUCAUGCACCUGUUAACAUCGGUUCAAGCAUUUUAGAGAAUUUAACGUGCUCAAAGAAUGGUAUGAGGCUCAGGAAGUUUGGUUCAUGAAUACUUGGUGAAGAUUGGGUACUUCUAUUGGAAUGGACUGCAUCUAAACCAGGGUGGAACCUCUGUCCUGGCAAAUCAUACAACUAAGUCUGUGACAGGACUUCAAACAAAUGUGGGGUUGGGUCAGCUGUUGUGGAACGAUUCAGGUGAAGGAAGGUUUAGGAAACCAGAGAGUGGUUGAGGCGUCAGAACAAUAUAGCAAUGUGGGUAAAACCAAAGCGAGUGGGACAGGAAGGAUCAGAGUUCACCAAUCAGGUAAUUGCAGGGACACAAGUAAAAAGAUAAAAUUCAAGGCCCUUUCAACACGCAAGUCAUUGGCAAUAAGGUGGAUGAGCUAGUAAGGCUGUAGUAAUUUAAUCCCAACAGUAACUCUACCUUUGGAUGAAGCAUUAAACAAGAAAAGAUUGGAACUGAAAAUAAUUGUGACUAAUUAAGUGUCACAAGAAUCACUGUUGUACCGCAACUAUUUACAGUCUAUUUUAAUAACUUGGAUGAGGUGACUGUGUAAUGUAUCUAGCUUUAUUGAUGAUGGAAAGCUAGAACAUGGGAGCGCAGGACAAGGGAGCAAUAAUUUAGAAAUGAGAUGAGGAUAAACUUCUUCACUUGGAAUGUUGUGAAUCUUUGGAUUUUUAUACCCGAGAGAGUUAUGGAUACUUAAUUUUUGAGUUCAAUUAAGGAUCAGAUAGAAAGAUUUCUGGACUCUCAAUAAGUCAAGGGAGAUGGGGAGAGGUGAGAAAAUGGUGCUUGAGUGGAAGAACAACCAUGAUUGUGUUAAAUCACAGCUCAGGCCCAAGUGGCAGUAUGGCCUACUCCUGUUGUUUAAUGUUGCUUUGUUUGAUUGGCACCCCAUCCCAUUUGUGCAAAACUUUACUCCCUUCACCAUUGGGUGCACCGUGCAACAAUUCUUUUAAACACUGGAUGCUAUUCGGCAACUCACUGUGGCUUGUUUCAUAGCACCACUCAAGCCCACAACUUCCAUUAGAAGAAAAAAACAGAAAUUGCUUGAAAAGUUCAGCAGGUCUGGCAGCAUCUGUGAGAGAAAUCAGAGUUAACAUUUUGGGUUGAACGACCCUUCCUCAGAACUUGACUUCUGGCCACAGCUUCUAUUGUUUCAUGUACACAGUCUUUAAGUUCCAUUACAAGAGGCUCCACCCUGAUUUGGACAUCUCUCAUUUUUAUUUCCAUUUUUGCUGAGUCUAAAUCUUGGACUGUACUGUCUUAACAAUAUUGGGAGCCUACCUUCACCACAUGGACAGCAACAGUUCAUCAUGUUGACAGCAAAUAGAUGUGGUCUUGGUAGAAUAAUGUCGAUGACCUUCUUUCUUGUGAGUAUUUACUUUUGUUCUUCAGUCUGUGCUGAAUGUUACUAAUUGAGC